CCCUUUAAUCAGUAUCUCCAUCUUCAUCAGUUUAACAUGUGUUGAAGCUCCUUCUCCGGAGUUCAAACGACACCUCAUACAACUCACCUAUCUCCUUUUCUGCGGCACUAAGUACCCUUCAUACAACGGCGUCGCACAUUGCGCAACAGAAAGCGCGUGCGGCCGCCUCCUCCUCGCACACGUAUUCUGACCAGACCACAGUCAGACCGGCUAUUCAUUCCUCCAGCACUUGCUGAAGCCCCGGCAUUUCUCCCCCCGACCCUCCACCGCAGCACGGACAGCAGCGAUGUUUUCCUGCAGAGCGGCCUGGCUAAAGUGUGGCCCUUUGGCACGGAAAGCAGCCUACCGGCUGCCCCGGGACGUUGUACAGCGGCGACCGAUGUCAUCAAUUCCUGGUGGUUCUGGGGAGAAUAUCGUCUACGCUCUAAUGUGUGGAGGAGUCUUUGUUGGCUCGGUGGCAUACGCAUACAACACCCUGAGCACAGACGGAGCCAGGUUCAACGACCGCAUCUCUGAAAUCAAUGCCAGACCCAAGACAGAGUGGGUGCCUAAACCAUGGCCCCCCAAGAGCAGGGACGAGGAAGAGGUGUAAAGGUAGAGCUAAGGUCCUCUGUGGCCGCAUGGAUAUCCCCCCUAGAACUGGAUUCUGAAAAGGGACCCCCUCCCCCCACAUCCUCUCCUUCCUCCCCCAAUAAGAAAGAACGAGUGCUUCACUCAACCUUAAACCGUGGGACAAGUCUGGGAAGGAUGUUGAUUCCCUUCAACUUUCUUCAUUUCCCCCCCGACCCCCCUCUGGCUGCUAAAUGUAAAGUGUAACCCCUUGAAGAGAAUAAAUGGACCUCACAGACGUGUCUGGAUUUUCAGUGGUUCAAUGGACUUCAUCGCUGUUCAACACCGGUCUGGUUUGAAGAACAAAAAAAGGAUUUCUUUUAAAUGGACAUUAACCGUUUUGAGUAAAGCUUUGCAUUAAUAUCCAACACGUUAGCAUGCGCUGUUGCGAGCAUUGGCCACCUUUUGGUGUGAACGUGUGCUGUAGGUGUAUCUGGUGAGGAGUUUAAUAGCAACUGUAUUUGAAGCCUCAAAGCGCCACUUCAAAAAUAAUUCAAAUAAAUGGCUAUUUAUUGAGUUGGUUAACCUGUUUGUCAGUAAGUAGUAAGUCUUGUUUGCCAGUCUGAAAAUAGCGUCACAUGAAGAAUAAAAUCAUUUAUAGCAGAUAGAAUCUCUUCCUUGGAUAUGGAUCCCAGACAUCGUUUUUUCCACAAGGAGGUAAACUCUUUAUAGAGAAGGUCAGGGUGUCCACUGCUGGAAAGUCCCAGGUGAAUGAAUACAAGCCACCGUUGUAUUACCUGGUGAUGAAACUCUAGACGGGAACCGUUUCAUUCGUAGCGGAAACCGGAUCCCAAACUGAAGCAGUUGUCUGUCAGCGCUAGUGAUGAAUCGGCACUGUUCCUAUGAACAAAAUAAAUAAUAUGUAUUAUUUAAAAAAAAUACAGAUUAUACAUAUUAUAACUCCCUCCCAGCUUCCACCAUGUAGCAAUAAGCAUGCUAUUGUAAUAUUCUAACAUUGAAGUGAUUCCCACUGAUGGCCACAGCAUCGACCCAGUUGGUAUGGUUCCUUUCCAUGUCGCACCUCGGCAGAGUGCACUCGGGUCUCGAUGAUUUUACCUGUGUGCUGAAACUGUCGUUGCUCGGGACUCCCACGGCUCGGGGGGGUUGGCUGAUGGUCAAUGUGGAUGACCUGCUGUCGGAGCUCCAGGUAGCACGUAGUUUGUUAAUCGGAUGGUAAGAACCAAGAUUCAACUUCCCCCCUUCUACCCUGCACCUUGACCCGCAACCCUCCCCUCCGUCCCCCCGUCAUGUUCCUCCCUGUCCUUGGUUUGCAUGUAGUUUAGUGUUGUGAAUCAGAUGUUUGUUUUUUCUUAAUAAUGAUUGACUGUUGGGGGGGCGGAGGGGGUUAAAGUGGCUUUUCUAGAAGAAGCACUUCUGGCUCAGCCUAUUACUAGUAGCUAUGUUUCCAUCCAACUGCCCAUGCGUGUCAUUUUACCUAGUCUGACGUGUUACACUUAAUAAAAGCGUCAGCUAAAUGACCUGUAAUGUAAUUUCAUUUACUUUCAAGACUUCACAAUAAAAGUCCCCUGUUAGUUACUACGGCUCAGAGUAGUUUAAAAUAUGGCUGCUUACAAAGCUUGUCUUAUUCUUCUUUCCCCCCCCCACACAGUAGUCUGCCUUUAUUUUAAGUGGAAAUAUCUUGAUUGUUGGACUCCGACUGUGGGCUGGUGGUCCUCCUCUCUCCUCUCGGGGGACGAUGAUUUCAUGACCAGUGUGGAUCGUUUUCACACCUCAGUGCGAUCUGCAGAUGAGAGCUCAGGCGCGUGUAACCCCCCCCUCCCUUAGUUAGGGAGAGUUGCACAUCUGUAUUUUAACCCAUCUGGCAGCACCUGACAUCCAACCACCCUUUAUCUUUGACAAAGAUAUUCAGCACACAUCUUUUUUUCAUCCACAUUGUAGAGCUGUCGCCCAGAAAAAGAUAAACGUUGGAAUAAAUGAGACGCUGAGGCCACGGAACUGUACAAACUAUCCCGAUGGAGCCCACAGAGCGUUCAUCAACCCGAUACUUAAACACCUAGUAGACCAUUCUUUCCCAUUUGGCACUCACAAGGUUCACCUUGACGCAAAUCUGUCACGUGACAUCACAAAUCGUAUGCCGGCUAUGCUGAUAAUGACGUAUUUAUAAGAGAUGAUAUUUUGGACAGACAUGAUAAACUAAAUUCCUCCUAUAGUGACAGCCCUACCACAUAUGAUUGUUCAUAAAACACCGGAUGGAAACCUAGCUACCGCGAACACAAUAAUAUCCCAGAAUUAUGUCGCUUUUUAAACUGUUCAUCAAAAUAUUUCAUAUUUGAAAAGAGGGAUGUUUUUUUUGGGCUGAUAUUAUUUUAUUUUUUAACAUGCCGCGUUUGUGGAACACACUGAUUAGCACCGCUGAGGGAGGCGGGCUGCUCCCUGCAGGAGAACGUGAUGGUGUCUCUGGCCAACGCGCGCCUUCUGCUUCCUGUGUUCCAGCUGGAGAGGAGGAAGUGGCAGCUGGAGAGGAGGAAGUGGCAGCUGAGGAGGCCGGCGAAGAGGAGGCUGCCGCUGAUGGCGAAGGAGAGAUCGUGGCCGAGGUUGCAGAGGUCGUUGCUGAGGCGGCGGAGGAGGUCGCCGAGGCGGCAGAGGAAGUUACAGAGGUCGCUCGUGAAGUGGAGGCGGUCGCGGAAGAGGUGGCUAAGGCGGCCGAAGCCGCCCCCCAAGCCGCCGCAGAACUAGCCGCCGAGGAGCCCGACAGCAACGUGCCGCUGGCUGCUGCUUCUGCUCUAGAAGUACCAAAGAUCGUUGAAGUGACGGAAGAGUUAGCCGCAGCCAUUCAGGACAUCGAUAAGUCCCUUGCACCAGUUGAGGAGGCUACCAAGCCAGCAGAAGAGUCCCCAGCACCAGUAGAGCCUGCACCAGUUGUCGAAGAGGCCACUUUAGAGCCUGCACCAGUUGAAGACGCCCCAGCACCAGUAGAGGUUGCACCAGUUGAAGAGGCCCCAGCACCAGUGGAGGUUGUUGAUGAGUCCCCAGUAGAGGCUGCACCAGUUGAAGAGGCCCCAGCACCAGUAGAGGUUGUUGAAGAGGCCCCAGUAGAGGCUGCACCAGUUGAAGAGGCCCCAGCACCAGUAGAGGUUGUUGAAGAGGCCCCAGUAGAGGCUGCACCAUUUGAAGAGGCCCCAGCACCAGUAGAGGUUGUUGAAGAGGCCCCAGUAGAGCAGCUUGCACCAGUUGUUGAAGAGGCCCCAGCACCAGUAGAGGCUGCACCAGUUGUUGAGGAAGUCUUGGUACCAUCUGAACCUGAAGUUACCACAGCACUUGCUGAAGAACCAGUCACCACCGCAGUUGAUGAAGAGGCUCUGGCAACCAUCGCUGCAGAAGUAGCGACCCCUCUGGUGGUUGAAGAAGCGGCUACUGAAACCCUUGCCGAAGCUCCGAAGAGAGAGUACAUUGUUGUGGUCCUGGAAGGAACACCUAAAGCUGAUAAGUCACCCAAGGUGCUUGGAGUGGAGUCCAUGACUGGUAGAAUCAUCCCAACUCCAGACGACGACGUCUCUGCUUCUGAGUAAGCAGCUUCCUGGAUGAUGACUUUCUUUCCUGCAGAAGAGGAUGGACGUGCCUUUUUUCCAACUCUUUCCCUUCCUUUUUAACCAAAAGAAACCCAAACUGACUAACACAUAGUUCCUGUGUAAAUACGCACAUACUGCACAGUGUUCAAUGCCCACUUUGUUGAGCCAUUAAACCGGCAUGUGAGCCCAUUACUGUGCCCCGCCACACCAACCUGCAUAUCUUGAAUCUGUAGUAGAUGACCCCAGUCAGUAGGUGAACACAUCUCUGGUACAGUAUAUCUCUUAGUAGCCUAAAUAGCAGUUUGUGUCACUUCAAUUGAGCCAUUCAGUCACCGUCAGUGUUUACUCUCUCAAAACAAACUUGUAGUUUUAGACGUAUUAGGGUUGAAGGGGUGUUUACUUCAUCAGCAUUCUUUACAAUACCAGCGCUCAGGAUUUUUCUUCUGCUUCUUGGUUUGAACAGCUGGAAAACACCUGCUGCACUGUUGUUAUGAAGAAACACCUGGAGCACAGCAGCCCCUUUGUACAGAAUCUACCUCACCGAUCCUUGUGUUUUCACUCCUUAAUAAUGAAACUACCGACCUCUUCUCAUGCAGUCACACAAAGGUUACACUUCCCAAGCCAACAACACCAUUGCUAAGCCUCCGACUUCGAUAAGCACAUCAUUUCUUUAUUUCAAAAGCUGUCAUUGGAUAAUCCAAACUCCUCUUGUAAAGCUCAAUGCUACAGGCGUCUGUAGGAUGAGCACACCAAGCUUUUCUCUCCAGCGGGCCCUGAAACAUGGAGGGGAAACUGCUGCUGCUCUCAAAAUUGGUUACGUCACAUUUUGUGUUCUUCCCCUUGAUGGCUGCUUGAAGACACCAGUUGUGACCUCCGGGAUUUUGGGGAAUGUGGCCAUGAAACAAACCUACAAGUUUGAAAGCAGCAGAUAUUGAGUUUCCUUUAGCGGACGUUGUUACUCAAUUUUGUAGAUUGUACAUGAUUAUACAAUGAAUGUAUGAAAUAUAUUGGACAUUUUCCUGAUAUUACAUUGCAAUGACUUUACACUUAGCCUAAACCCUGUUUCUCCUUGUCAGUCAUUCAUCUCUACUCACUGAGUAGCCCUGUUAAUCUAGCUCGUGGGUUAGGGAAGACGAUGAGCAGAAUCAUGUUCUUCCACCCGUGGCUAUUAUUGUUCUAGCAGUCAGAACUGUGUUGUGUGGUCUAAAGUUUUCACAGCAGAUAUGAACCGUAAUGUUUUCAGAUAUGCGACAUCAAAUGCACGUGUAUGUGUCCGAGGUCAAGGGUCCCGUGUGAAAUGCUUUGACGGCUCCUGUUGCCGUCUUUUCUCUUGUGUCAGCAGUAUUUGAAAUGAAGUUACUGAGGGAAGAUUUGAAACUCGUGUGCAUUUCUGUAAUGCAAAUGGGAUCAGAAAAUGACACUUGUCAGUCUUUGUUGCUCGCAGGCAGGUUUUUGUAGUAGGACGAUGCCUUUGACUUAGCAAAGGAACUGAACUGAAACUGUGAAUCUUUCCCAUAAUACAGUUUUUCUUGUUUUUUGCUAAAUAAAGUGGGACUAAACAUGA
ensembl:lncRNA